GACGAACGCUGGCGGCGUGCUUAACACAUGCAAGUCGAACGGAAAGGCCCUGCUUGCAGGGUACUCGAGUGGCGAACGGGUGAGUAACACGUGGGGGAUCUGCCUGGACCUUGGGAAAAGCCCGGGAAAACGGGGUUAAAAACGGGUAGGGGGCAUUUUUUGGGGGAUGGGUGGGAAGUUUUUUUGGUUUAGGGAGAGCUCGCGGCCUAUCAGCUUGUUGGUGGGGGAAUGGCCUACCAAGGCGGCGACGGGUAGCCGGCCUGAGAGGGUGGACGGCCACAUUGGGACUGAGAUACGGCCCAGACUCCUACGGGAGGCAGCAGUGGGGAAUAUUGCACAAUGGGCGCAAGCCUGAUGCAGCGACGCCGCGUGGGGGAUGACGGCCCUCGGGUUGUAAACUCCUUUCGCUAGGGACGAAGCUUUUUGUGACGGUACCUAGAUAAGAAGCACCGGCUAACUACGUG
rnacentral:rRNA from 1 species